GUUCUAUUCCAAAUCAGAUCAAAUCUCAUAAACAUACAGAGAAGAUUAGCAUGGCCCCUGUGCAAGGAUGGUAUGCAAAUUUGUGAAUAUAUAUAAAAAGGA
rnacentral:snRNA from 1 species